UACGAAGGGGGCUAGCGUUGCUCGGAAUUACUGGGCGUAAAGCGCACGUAGGCGGAUCUUUAAGUCAGGGGUGAAAUCCUGGAGCUCAACUCCAGAACUGCCUUCGAUACUGAGAGUCUCGAGUCCGGGAGAGGUGAGUGGAACUGCGAGUGUAGAGGUGAAAUUCGUAGAUAUUCGCAAGAACACCAGUGGCGAAGGCGGCUCACUGGCCCGGUACUGACGCUGAGGUGCGAAAGCGUGGGGAGCAAACAGG
rnacentral:rRNA from 1 species